AACUGCGAGUGAAGCGGGAAAAGCUCAAAUUUAAAAUCUAAUGGUCUUUUUGGCCGUUCGAGUUGUAAUUUAGAGAAGCGUCUUCCGCGCCAGACCAUGUACAAGUCUCCUGGAACGGAGCGUCGUAGAGGGUGAGAAUCCCGUCUUUGACAUGGACCCUCGGUGCUUCUGUGAUGCGCUCUCAAAGAGUCGAGUUGUUUGGGAAUGCAGCUCAAAAUGGGUGGUGAACUCCAUCUAAGGCUAAAUAUUGGCGAGAGACCGAUAGCGAACAAGUACCGUGAGGGAAAGAUGAAAAGCACUUUGGAAAGAGAGUGAAACAGUACGUGAAAUUGUUGAAAGGGAAACACUUGAAGUCAGUCGCGUCGAUCAAGACUCAGCCUUGCCCUCGGCUUGGCGUACUUCUUGACUUGACGGGCCAGCAUCAAUUUCGUCCCUCGGAUAAUGGCAGGGGAAAGGUGGCACCUUCACGGGUGUGUUAUAGUCUCUUGUCGCAUACGAGGGGUGGGAUUGAGGAACUCAGCACGCGCUUCACGGCGUCGGGGCUUCGGCCC
rnacentral:rRNA from 1 species